UUGCAUGAAAACAGUAUUCUGCGGUAAUUUUUCCAUUUUUUUCAAGCAGUGCAUUAGCAAAGUGAAUGCAUGACUUUCUUUUACUGCAGAACUUGUCAGUGCCUUUAAUCUGAGGGAUGAGUCUUCAGGAGAGUUUGUUGUCAGGAUUUAACACUUACUCUUGGAAAAGCAGUAAUGUGUGCUGGAAAUGAACCGGGCAGACCCUGCUCCCAUCUCCAUCUGCCUCAAUCUCAGUGCCCUCCACUCCCCACCAGCAGCGCCUGUUACCAAGUCACUGCACAACAACCACAAAUGGAGAGUGGAGGAGCAUCACUUUCCACCCCGGGAUCAUGACGAGGGCUCUGUAACUUCAACAAAUGCGCAGAAGACGCCUGGCCUCGAGCUUGUGCAGCACCUCCGGAGCCUGCCUUCCCUUGUCACCCACGGCACCAUGACUUUGGAGGGUCUCAGCUCAGUCCUCCCUCCAGAGGGGCUGUCAGUGCUGGGCAGAAAAUCACCCUUCAACGACCGGGCCCAGCUGCGCUCUGUCAGAGAGCAGAGAAAGCAGGCCUCCGGGAGGUUCUCACUCCACCAAGGAGACGUCUCCACCCAGCGCUCAUCCUGAGCAAGGGCACUGGGAGGAAGAAAUGCAAUUUUAAAACCUGUGCUGCGAAUGAUGACUUCUGCUGCUUCCGUCUCUGGAGAGCUCUGGGCACUUAACAUCCUUCCACCCACAUGCCCGAGUCUGUGCAGAAACCUCACCCACGCGGAGGAGACUGCAUUUCCCAGUAGCAGAUUCAAGUCCUGAACUUCCUGUACCACAAAGUGUUACCCACACUGGUGGGUGCCAGCCUGAGACUCAACUAUCAGGAAAAACAUGAAGAAUUCAGUCCAUGCCCUCAAAUGCACCCAUGUGGCUCCCAAACGGCAAAUCUCAGCAAUGAGAUUCUCAGCUAGGAAAGUCCACACUGAACUCAUGCAGAGGACAAAGUACAUAGGCCUGGGGUUCUUGGCACCUGAGAUCUCUGAGCAGUUUUCUGAAUUUUCCUAUUUCCUGUUGAAGACAUAGGAACACGUGGCACAGAGGCACAGAGACCUGGAAACCAACAGGUGACCUCAGGGAGGUUUGUGAAGCACCCUGAUGAGAAGACAGUUGGGCAGACGUGGCUGGCUAUUCCCCAAGUCCAUUUUCCCUCCUGGGACCAGAGCUGACUCCAUUUCUCAAUCUGCCUUGCAGUGAGCAUAGUCAGCUUCCUGGCACUGCUGGACCUGUCUUGAAGGCUCUUUUGGCCGGAAAUGGAUGGGCAGGGAUCUGAGAGCACCUGCUAUCGGUUCCAACGUCGCACGGUGGGACUCUGGACAGGGUCCUCCCUCUCCAUCUUCCCCUCGCUGGGACCCAGCACGGCACAGGAGGGGCGGCCAACACCAUUUAGACAUCAGAACUGUCCAGAGUGUUCUGCCCUCUGUCUUAAGUCACGACCCCGGAUUCCCCAGGCAGCCACACACAGCGGUCUACACCGGGAGAAAGUCGCCGUGAGAACCGUGGCACCGCAGGAGGCUGUGCGUGUUUGCUUUUGUUGAUCUGUUUAACUGCAGCCCGAUUUAUGUUUCUGGAUCCUGGAAUUGAGUUGACACUAUCGGUAGUAUGAAAGUGACAGACACCAGGAUGAAGUCACUCUUGUCAGACCCAGAGGAAACAGGGUCAGGAGGCCUGGGGGAGGGGAGGACGCUGCUGCGUGUCUGAGAUCAGAGCUGUUUCCAAGGACUUUCUGAAGCCCCACAAGAAGGCCCUCUGCGUCCGUCGCGCAUCUCCGGCCUGGCGGGGCUUGCGUGGCUCACACGUACACGCAUUUCUACGGCCAGGGUUAUCUAUCACCAGACAUUCUUGAGGACUGCAGUGAUUCUGAUCAGAUGCUCUCAAAAGACCACUUCCCAGUGACAACACCUCCUUCAAGAAACCGACAGCAUUCUGGCUGUGGGUCCCUGGAACCAGUGAAC
ensembl:lncRNA LINC01257 long intergenic non-protein coding RNA 1257